CCUCCGUCUGCUCCCAUGGGAGGCGAUCCCUCCCAGCCAGGAUCUCCUCCCACAUCCAGGAUCCUUUCCCAUUCAAAAUGUCCUUCCACAUCCAUUCCUCCUGACCUCGCUGCUUGGUCUUUUUGUGGUGGGUAGUUCUGUCACGUCUCUCGUCAGAAGGCAUGGACCAAAGCGCAGCGUGGUAAGUGUUCAUGAUAAAUGUAUUACUCAAAACACUCAAACAAAAUAACAAAGAGUGAAAACCGAAACAGUCUUGUCAAGUGUAGACACUAAACAGAAUAUAACUACCCACAAAACCCAAACGAAAAAGGACAACUUAUAUAUGAUCCCCAAUCAGAGACAACGAUAGACAGCUGCCUCUGAUUGGGAACCACACCAACAUAAAAGUAAAGAAACUAGAAUGUACUAGUACUACAGCCAGGGAAGGUGAGCAUACCUCAGUAACUCAUACUGUACUACAUCCAGGGAAGGUGAGCAUACCUCAGUAACUCAUACUGUACUACAUCCAGGGAAGGUGAGCAUACCUCAGUAACUCAUACUGUACUACAUCCAGGGAAGGUGAGCAUACCUCAGUAACUCAUGCUGUACUACAUCCAGGGAAGGUGAGCAUACCUCAGUAACUCAUACUGUACUACAUCCAGGGAAGGUGAGCAUACCUCAGUAACUCAUACUGUACUACAUCCAGGGAAGGUGAGCAUACCUCAGUAACUCAUGCUGUACUACAUCCAGGGAAGGUGAGCAUACCUCAGUAACUCAUACAGUACUAAAUCCAGGGAUGGUGAGCAUACCUCAGUAACUCAUACUGUACUACAUCCAGGGAAGGUGAGCAUACCUCAGUAACUCUGUGUGCACUCUGUGUUCCAUGUCUUUGUCCAGGUAAAUCCCUCCCCCUUGCUGUACUGUACCUACCUGUGCUGUAGCUAUAACUCAGAGAGGGAUGUGUCAGCUUUGAAUGAAACCUAAUCCUUCUUCUCCUUCACUUGCACCCCCGGGGGCUUCGUUUGGCCUGCUCUCUCUCUCUCUCCCCCUCUCUCUCUCUUUCUUUCUCUCUGUAUGGUGCUCAGGUGUGCUCUUACAUGCUGAGACUCCAUGUCAUUCCCGCUCUAAUCACAGUCAGGGUCUGGAGCAGGUAAGCGCUGAUUCUGGAAGCGUACAGGGAAGACUGCUCAUACUUAGGUCUGGCAGCCAACGACCUGCAGGAUGGUUUCUCUGUUCCUGCUCGUGUGUAAGUCGCAUGCACCUUCCUUUGGCACUCUUUGAAUUGAUGACAGGCAAAUCACAUGUAGCAGAAAAGGGAAAAAACAGAUCCUCAGAGCUAUUUGUUUCAACAGGGGCAGGAUUAAAUUGUCUUGUUUUUGGCAGGAAGAAUCUCUUUGCCAUUAUAGUCCAUGAGUCCUCUUUUCCACAAGCGUGUGAUCACUUGCUGCACACCGAUGGAGAAUAUUUCCACUUGCUGGCACUUGCUUUCUCUAGCGGGAGACUUUUUUAUUUGCAUAUUUUCCCUAAUAUUCAAAAUGGUGGAUAUAAUUUCAGUCAUGUAUGGACAACUUCACUAUCGUCAAGUAGAAAUGUUGAGUGUUCUAAAAAGUGA
rnacentral:lncRNA from 1 species